UUAAUGGCUCAGGAUGAACGCUAGCUACAAGGCUAACACAUGCAAGUCGAGGGGUAGCAGGGUAGCAAUACCGCUGACGACCGGCGCACGGGUGAGUAACACGUAUCCAACCUUCCCAUAACUCAGGGAUAGCCUUUCGAAAGAAAGAUUAAUACCUGAUAGUACUUUUUCAAGGCAUCUUGAGAAGUUAAAGAUUUAUUGGUUAUGGAUGGGGAUGCGUUCCAUUAGAUAGUUGGUGAGGUAACGGCUCACCAAGUCUUCGAUGGAUAGGGGGUUCUGAGAGGAAGGUCCCCCACAUUGGUACUGAGACACGGACCAAACUCCUACGGGAGGCAGCAGUGAGGAAUAUUGGUCAAUGGGCGAGAGCCUGAACCAGCCAAGUAGCGUGAAGGAAUGAAGGUCCUAUGGAUUGUAAACUUCUUUUAUAGUAGAAUAAAGUGAUCCACGUGUGGAUUUUUGUAUGUAUACUAUGAAUAAGGAUCGGCUAACUCCGUGCCAGCCGCCGC
rnacentral:rRNA from 1 species